AUACGGAGGAUCCGAGCGUUAUCCGGAUUUAUUGGGUUUAAAGGGUGCGCAGGCGGCCAUUUAAGUCAGCGGUUAAAUCGUGGGGCUCAACCCCAUUCUGCCGUUGAUACUGGGUGGCUUGAUUGCGGUCGAGGUUGGCGGAAUUCGUUGUGUAGCGGUGAAAUGCAUAGAUAUGACGAAGAACACCGAUUGCGUAGGCAGCUGGCCAGACCGCAAAUGACGCUCAUGCACGAAAGUGCGGGGAUCGAACAGGAUUAGAUACCCUGGUAGUCCGCACAGUAAACGAUGAAUACUUGUUUUCGGCGAUAUAAUGUCGGAGGCAAAGCGAAAGCGAUAAGUAUUCCACCUGGGGAGUACGCCGGCAACGGUGAAACUCAAAGGAAUUGACGGGG
rnacentral:rRNA from 1 species